rnacentral:rRNA from 1 species
CAGUCAGAGGCGAUGAAGGGCGUGCUAAUCUGCGAUAAGCGCCGGUAAGGUGAUAUGAACCGUUAUAACCGGCGAUACCCGAAUGGGGAAACCCAGUGUGAUUCGUCACACUAUCAUUAACUGAAUCCAUAGGUUAAUGAGGCGAACCGGGGGAACUGAAACAUCUAAGUACCCCGAGGAAAAGAAAUCAACCGAGAUUCCCCCAGUAGCGGCGAGCGAACGGGGAGGAGCCCAGAGCCUGAAUCAGCAUGUGUGUUAGUGGAAGCGUCUGGAAAGGCGCGCGAUACAGGGUGACAGCCCCGUACACAAAAGCGCAUGUGUUGUGAGCUCGAUGAGUAGGGCGGGACACGUGGUAUCCUGUCUGAAUAUGGGGGGACCAUCCUCCAAGGCUAAAUACUCCUGACUGACCGAUAGUGAACCAGUACCGUGAGGGAAAGGCGAAAAGAACCCCGGCGAGGGGAGUGAAAAAGAACCUGAAACCGUGUACGUACAAGCAGUGGGAGCACAGGUUUACCUGUGUGACUGCGUACCUUUUGUAUAAUGGGUCAGCGACUUAUAUUCUGUAGCAAGGUUAACCGUAUAGGGGAGCCGGAGGGAAACCGAGUCUUAAUUGGGCGUUAAGUUGCAGGGUAUAGACCCGAAACCCGGUGAUCUAGCCAUGGGCAGGUUGAAGGUUGGGUAACACUAACUGGAGGACCGAACCGACUAAUGUUGAAAAAUUAGCGGAUGACCUGUGGCUGGGGGUGAAAGGCCAAUCAAACCGGGAGAUAGCUGGUUCUCCCCGAAAGCUAUUUAGGUAGCGCCUCGUGAAUUCAUCUCCGGGGGUAGAGCACUGUUUCGGCUAGGGGGCCAUCCCGGCUUACCAACCCGAUGCAAACUGCGAAUACCGGAGAAUGUUAUCACGGGAGACACACGGCGGGUGCUAACGUCCGUCGUGAAGAGGGAAACAACCCAGACCGCCAGCUAAGGUCCCAAAGUCAUGGUUAAGUGGGAAACGAUGUGGGAAGGCCCAGACAGCCAGGAUGUUGGCUUAGAAGCAGCCAUCAUUUAAAGAAAGCGUAAUAGCUCACUGGUCGAGUCGGCCUGCGCGGAAGAUGUAACGGGGCUAAACCAUGCACCGAAGCUGCGGCAGCGACGCUUAUGCGUUGUUGGGUAGGGGAGCGUUCUGUAAGCCUGUGAAGGUGUGUCGUGAGGCAUGCUGGAGGUAUCAGAAGUGCGAAUGCUGACAUAAGUAACGAUAAAGCGGGUGAAAAGCCCGCUCGCCGGAAGACCAAGGGUUCCUGUCCAACGUUAAUCGGGGC